AUUUAAAUUGAAGGAAUUCUUAACAAAGCAGGUUUCACAGAAUUUUAUGCAUUCUUUCUUAGGUCUGAUUGCCCCCAGGAACUGCCCGUUCCAGCAUAAGGCCACACCUGCUUCCGGCAUUGUUUUAGGUUUAAAUCAGGCAGGAGAAGUAAGGCAGCCAAGAGAUUAGCGGACUUCUUACAGACAGAAUGAGGAUGCAGGCUAUAACAAAGCUGAGGGGUGAAGGUCUAUCACCCCUUUUGUAUAAUCCCCUAAGUCCUUCCCUGGUGGUCCCUUCACAACUAUGCCUGUCUUAGGUUGUUCCUCCCUGGAGGAAUCUUACCCAUCAUUGUCUAACCAGUCAUCUGCUUGGGCCAAGCAGGGUAAAGUAAAAGGGG